rnacentral:pre_miRNA from 1 species
ACUGUCAGAUUUCACCUAACCUCUGUUAGGCUAUGUCUGGGUAGCAAAGACUGAUACAGACAAAGCCUAGGAGAGGCUAGAUUAGAUCUGGAGAA